rnacentral:hammerhead_ribozyme from 1 species
GCACUGCUGAGGAGUCCCAAAAUAGGACGAAACAGCUGUCCAGUGC